GACCGCAUAGCUCAGUUGGAAGAGCAUUGGGCUAGUAUUCCAAAGGUCGUAGGUUCGAAUCCCACCGUGGCUG